rnacentral:rRNA from 1 species
UAGGGAAUCUUCGGCAAUGGACGAAAGUCUGACCGAGCAACGCCGCGCGAGUGAAGAAGGUUUUCGGAUCGUAAAACUCUGUUGUUAGAGAAGAACAAGGACGUUAGUAACUGAACGUCCCCUGACGGUAUCUAACCAGAAAGCCACGGCUAACUACGUGCCAGCAGCCGCGGUAAUACGUAGGUGGCAAGCGUUGUCCGGAUUUAUUGGGCGUAAAGCGAGCGCAGGCGGUUUCUUAAGUCUGAUGUGAAAGCCCCCGGCUCAACCGGGGAGGGUCAUUGGAAACUGGGAGACGUGAGUGCAGAAGAGGGGAGUGGAAUUCCAUGUGGAGCGGUGAAAUGCGUAGAUAUAUGGAGGAACACCAGUGGCGAAGGCGGCUCUCUGGUCUGUAACUGACGCUGAGGCUCGAGAGCGUGGGGAGCAAACAGG